rnacentral:rRNA from 1 species
UAGGGAAUCUUCCGCAAUGGACGCAAGUCUGACGGAGCAACGCCGCGUGAGUGAAGAAGGAUUUCGGUUCGUAAAACUCUGUUGUUAGAGAAGAACAGCGCAUAGAGUAACUGUUAUGCGUGUGACGGUAUCUAACCAGAAAGCCACGGCUAACUACGUGCCAGCAGCCGCGGUAAUACGUAGGUGGCAAGCGUUGUCCGGAUUUAUUGGGCGUAAAGCGAGCGCAGGCGGUCAAUUAAGUCUGAUGUGAAAGCCCCCGGCUCAACCGGGGAGGGUCAUUUGAAACUGGUUGACUUGAGUGCAGAAGAGGAGAGUGGAAUUCCAUGUGUAGCGGUGAAAUGCGUAGAUAUAUGGAGGCACACCAGUGGCGAAGGCGCCUCUCUGGUCUGUAACUGACGCUGAGGCUCGAAAGCGUGGGUAGCAAACAGG